UACAGAGGGUGCGAGCGUUGUUCGGAAUUACUGGGCGUAAAGCGCGCGCAGGCGGCUCUUUAAGUCUCGUGGUCAAAUGCCGGGGCUCAACCCCGAGCGUGCCGGGGAUACUGGAGGGCUGGAGACAGGUAGAGGCAAGCGGAAUUCCGGGUGUAGCGGUGGAAUGCGUACAGAUCCGGAAGAACACCGGAGGCGAAGGCGGCUUGCUGGACCUGGUCUGACGCUGAGGCGCGAAAGCGUGGGGAGCGAACAGG
rnacentral:rRNA from 1 species